rnacentral:rRNA from 1 species
AAUGCUUUAUGCGUCAAAUGGAUUCGUCUGCCCAAGGAUGGGUCUGCGGCCUAUCAGGUAGUAGUGGGUGUAAUGUACCUACUAGCCGACGACGGGUACGGGUUGUGAGAGCAAGAGCCCGGAGAUGGAUUCUGAGACAUGAAUCCAGGCCCUACGGGGCGCAGCAGGCGCGAAAACUUUACAAUGCGGGAAACCGUGAUAAGGGGACACCGAGUGCCAGCAUCAUAUGCUGGCUGUCCGGGUGUGUAAAAUACACCCGUUAGCAAGGGCCGGGCAAGACCGGUGCCAGCCGCCGCGGUAACACCGGCGGCCCGAGUGGUGAUCGUGAUUAUUGGGUCUAAAGGGUCCGUAGCCGGUUUGGUCAGUCCUCCGGGAAAUCUGACGGCUUAACCGUUAGGCUUUCGGAGGAUACUGCCAGGCUUGGAACCGGGAGAGGUAAGAGGUACUACAGGGGUAGGAGUGAAAUCUUGUAAUCCCUGUGGGACCACCUGUGGCGAAGGCGUCUUACCAGAACGGGUUCGACGGUGAGGGACGAAAGCUGGGGGCACGAACCGGAUUAGAUACCCGGGUAGUCCCAGCCGUAAACGAUGCUCGCUAGGUGUCAGGCAUGGCGCGACCGUGUCUGGUGCCGUAGGGAAGCCGUGAAGCGAGCCACCUGGGAAGUACGGCCGCAAGGCUGGAACUUAAAGGAAUUGGCGGGGGAGCACAACAACGGGUGGAGCCUGCGGUUUAAUUGGAGUCAACGCCGGA